rnacentral:rRNA from 1 species
UACGAACCGUGCGAACGUUGUUCGGAAUCACUGGGCUUAAAGGGCGCGUAGGCGGGUUCGCAAGUCUGUGGUGAAAGCCUCAGCUUAACUGGAGAAGUGCCAUGGAUACUGCGCAUCUUGAGGAGGGUAGGGGCGUCUGGAACGGUCGGUGGAGCGGUGAAAUGCGUUGAUAUCGACCGGAACUCCGGUGGCGAAGGCGAGGCGCUGGGAAACAACUGACGCUGAGGAACGAAAGCGUGGGUAGCAAACAGG